CCCAAGAAAGCGAUGAAUAAAUUGCAGGACUUACCUCAUAGCAACGAAAGCAUCUGCAGUGUUAGAUCAGAAUUCACAUCGACAGUCUAAAUAUGAUUUCUAAUGAACACGCAAUUUCUCUUUUUUUUUUUUCUUAUUUAAUGAAAAUCAUGCAAUAUGCAAUGCAUACUAUUAAUCUAACAUGGAAUAAUAUAACCUGAUAAUAUGGCCUAAACUAUAUGAUGCAAAUGCGAUGUUUUUGUGUUUUCUUAAUAAGCAUGCAAU
rnacentral:lncRNA from 1 species